UCAAUUGUAUCUUGCACAGCCGAGAACAACUCAUGAUAAUCUGCUCGUACAGAGGGCUCAUUACAGGUGGUGAGCGAUGACAUUGCAGCUUCAAGAAUGGCAAAGAAAUGGCCACUAGUUGCAGGCUUUACACUGCCAGCCUGAAUCAGCUGCAACACAAGCUUUGACGCCUUACUGAACUUUGGAAUGUUCUUUAUAUGUGAUGCUAUUUUUUGCAUGGCUUCAAUAACUUGCAUCUCCGAGGCAUCCGUGGUUGUUUUAAACCUCAAUCGUUUUUCAGGAGCAGAAGCUGCAAGUCGUCAACAGCCACUCAAUACUUCACCCAACUCAAAUAUUCACCAUACAACAAUAAACAAGUAGUAACAAUUUGUAGGACUAGGACCAUGAACGAGAGAAAUGCUCAAAACAUGAAUUGCUAGAAUAUGUGUCACAGAAAAAGGAUAGAUCAAUCCAUGAAUUACACCUCAAUCCAAAAUAGUUGGGUAGGCCAUAUGAAUUAUAUAUGGCCUAUUCCAUUACAAUACUAAAACACAACAAUACAACUACUAUUACUAUUACUACACCUCAGUCCCAAACAAGUUGGGUCUAUAUGGAUCCUCACUUACUCCGUUUAUAUCAUCUCAUGCCAAUGUUAUGCAGAUAUAAAUUAAAAGUAGUAGGAGAUCUGUAUAUUUUCUAAAGGUUAUAAACCUCUGAAAGGUUAAACCACUCCUAGAAAGCAGAAGAGCUACAGUAGCAGUGCUAAAGCCUAAAACAUUUACUCGACUAAUAUAGCCUAUACACAGAGACUAAUUUGCUUCAGCUUUUAUCAGUAGAGUAAUAGGACGCAACAAUUGGAUUGAGAUUGCAGCCUUUUCUAGCUCCCAAUUUCAACUUUUUUGUCAGUCACCAAAAUUGACCUGAAGACUGGAAAAUUAGAAAAAGGAGCACCAAAACAACCCGAAUUGAAGUAGACAAACUUAAAAUUGAACUAGUCACCUACCUAUUUGAUCAUACUUGAAACAAAAAACCCCAGAAAGUUAGAAAUUAUUAAGGGUAAGAACAGAAAAUUGACCUACUUUUAGGCUGUGAUUCAGCAGGUGGUUUGGAACGUUUGAGGGCACUCUUCAGAGCAGGAGGAGGGGGAGGAGGAAGUGAAGGCUGCGGUGGCGGUGGUGCCGCCGAAGCCACCGUAGGAGUAACGGCGGAACCGUUGGCGGAAGUUAGUGGCGCUGACAGAGGAGGCAAAUCUUCAAACAGGUCUCCGGCCAUUUUGUG
rnacentral:lncRNA from 1 species